CCCCCAGCCCUGACCCCGCCCCUGGCCCCGCCCAGCCGCCCCCGGAGGCUCCUGAUUGGCUGCUCCGAUUGGACGACGAUGACGAGGGGGCGGAGCCAAUGGACGAUGACGUCACCGAGGAGGAGGAGGGGGCGGAGCUCCUCGAGGUGGAAGUGGGCGGGGCCUACGUGGAACUGGUGGAGGCGGCACUGGGAGCACUGGGGGAACUGGGAGAGAACUGCGGUUCCGCCUUCCUGCCGUACCUGGAGCUGACCCUGGCGGCCAUCUUGGAACUGACCCAGGUGACCUUUGACCCCUCCCAGUCCCUCCCAGUAUAAACCAGUGACCCCCCAAU